CCUACGGGAGGCAGCAGUGAGGAAUAUUGGUCAAUGGGCGAGAGCCUGAACCAGCCAAGUCGCGUGAAGGAUGACGGCCCUACGGGUUGUAAACUUCUUUUGUCAGGGAGCAAUUGGGUCCACGCGUGGGCUUAGCGAGAGUACCUGAAGAAAAAGCAUCGGCUAACUCCGUGCCAGCAGCCGCGGUAAUACGGAGGAUGCGAGCGUUAUCCGGAUUUAUUGGGUUUAAAGGGUGCGUAGGCGGAAUAUCAAGUCAGCGGUAAAAUUUCGGGGCUCAACCCCGUCGUGCCGUUGAAACUGGUGUUCUUGAGUGGGCGAGAAGUAUGCGGAAUGCGUGGUGUAUCGGUGAAAUGCAUAGAUAUCACGCAGAACUCCGAUUGCGAAGGCAGCAUACCGGCGCCCAACUGACGCUGAAGCACGAAAGCGUGGGUAUCGAACAGGAUUAGAUACCCCUGUAGUC
rnacentral:rRNA from 1 species